GGGCAUGGAGUGACAGGAUGCUUUGGUAACGGAUCAUUACAAACAAAGUUGUGCAAAUAUACUUCGGUCCUCAGUUCCUACGUUUGUCCUAAAUCUGAUUACUGCCUUCCCAGUCCACGUUUUGCCAGUGGAAAAAAGAAGGUUGCUCGGAUUAUCAUGAUGUACCAUGUAAUUUUACCUCCAUAGCUACACAAAAUCUGGCCAAAACUAAAAUGGAUCCAGAAACUUUGGUGGUUAGUUUCGACCCAGCAACCGCAAAUAGCUUGGGCGAUAUCGACAAAGAAAUCGUGCAGCUGGCUUUGAAACAAGCGGAGAAAACUUUGCAAGAACUUGGCGUAAGAGUAUCGCAAGGAUACAAACUUGGAUAUGAACUGGGUUAUAUCAAAGGAGUACUAGAACACGUUCUGAAGACAGUACCAGAGUCGGAGGAUAAGGAGGCUUACAUGAAUGGGUACGUGAAUGGUUAUCUGCAAGGAAUGCUUCAUUCUUUCAAGCAAGGAGAACUUCAGCGAGGAUAUUCUGACAAUAAUCGUCAUUAAUUAGAAACCAUGUAGAGAUUUCUAGAAAUCACCUUUGACUGUUUUCAAAAACAGAAUAUUAAUCCUUAAACGUCUAAGUUUUUGAAUUUUUCUAUGGAGAACUGCAAUAGUGUGCACAUUACACGCUCAGUGCUGGUUUUCAAAGCAACUGAUGUCGAGAAGAGUUUAACAAAAGUUAGUUCGUGGUGUCAGGAAUGAACCGUCGUGAGAAGUGUUGGACAGUCGUUAUUUAAACGCUGAGACUCGGCCAAUUAUAGUUCAGAAGAUCAUACACAAACAACUUUUAUAGUUCUGGAGCAGACUGACGUUUGACACCAUUUCACUUAAGGAAACUCAUUAUUUUAUCUUAAUUGCACUUUUAAAAAGUGUACUAUAACAUAUACUGUUAAUGAUACAUCUCUAUCUCGCCUUUA